rnacentral:snRNA from 1 species
GUGCUCGCUUCCGCAGCACAUACACUAAAAUUGGAAUGAUACAGAGAAGAUGAGCAUGGCCCCUGCACAAGGAUGACAUGCAAAUUUGUGAAGUGUUUCAUAUUUUU